rnacentral:lncRNA from 1 species
CCCAUGGAUAUAAAGUUGAUAAUUAUGAAUUAUGAGACUUGUUGAUUACGAUGACAGUCCUAUUAUGAGUGUAAAGUGACCAUAACAUGAAUUUAUAUGUGCAAUAUUUUGAAAACAUGAUAUGAAUAUCUGACAAGAAUGAUUUAUGAAUCAUAUUCAUGAAAUAUUCAUGAAUUUGUGCAUGUAUGAUUGGUUUAUGACUUAUUUUAUUAUAUGUUCUAUGAAAUACUUUAUUUUAUAAUAUCUAUUAUUUUUUAAAUAUUUUAUUAUUAUAAAAAAAUUUAUGC